UCCUCCUUCUGGAGCUAGCGUCAGUGAUUCUAAUUUGAGCCCCGCCCCCUGAAGCCUGCUUGCUCUCUAUUGGUGGACGAUUCUCUCCAGGUGAGGACCAACGCGGGAGUGGGCGGAGCCAGGCGGGGGCACGUGAUUUGCCGGCGACUGGUGUGCCGGACACCGGCCACAGUCUGUGGGUUCCCGUCUGCCGCGUUACCCGGGGUCCCCUGAAGAGCUGCCAUGUCUGGGAAUCCUGCAUCUUCCUCAGAACAGAACAACAACAGCUAUGAAACCAAAACAAAUCUCCGAAUGUCAGAGAAGAAAUGCUCGUGGGCGUCCUACAUGACCAAUUCCCCGACCCUCAUCGUUAUGAUUGGCUUACCGGCCCGGGGCAAAACCUACGUGUCCAAGAAACUCACACGCUACCUCAACUGGAUUGGGGUGCCCACCAAAGUGUUUAACCUUGGGGUGUAUCGGCGUGAAGCGGUCAAGUCCUAUAAGUCCUACGACUUCUUCCGGCACGACAACGAGGAGGCCAUGAAGAUCCGCAAACAGUGCGCUCUGGUGGCACUGGAAGACGUUAAGGCGUAUCUCACCGAGGACAACGGGCAGAUCGCAGUGUUCGAUGCUACCAAUACCACUCGAGAGAGGAGGGACUUGAUUUUGAACUUCGCCGAGGAGAAUUCCUUCAAGGUGUUCUUUGUGGAAUCUGUCUGCGAUGAUCCUGAUGUCAUUGCUGCCAACAUCCUGGAGGUAAAGGUGUCGAGUCCUGACUACCCUGAAAGGAACAGGGAGAAUGUGAUGGAGGACUUCCUAAAGAGAAUUGAGUGCUACAAGGUCACCUAUCAACCCCUUGACCCAGACAACUAUGACAAGGAUCUUUCUUUCAUCAAGGUGAUAAAUGUGGGCCAGCGAUUUCUGGUGAACAAAGUCCAGGACUAUAUCCAGAGCAAGAUCGUCUACUACCUCAUGAAUAUCCACGUCCAGCCCCGCACCAUUUACCUGUGCCGGCACGGAGAGAGCGAGUUCAAUCUCCUAGGGAAGAUUGGGGGUGACUCAGGGCUCUCAGUGCGGGGAAAGCAGUUUGCCCAGGCUCUAAGGAAGUUUCUGGAGGAACAGGAGAUAGCAGAUCUCAAAGUGUGGACAAGUCAGUUGAAGAGGACUAUCCAGACCGCUGAAUCUCUGGGGGUGACCUAUGAGCAGUGGAAGAUUCUGAAUGAGAUUGAUGCUGGUGUGUGUGAGGAGAUGACCUACGCGGAGAUCGAGGAGCAGUACCCAGAUGAGUUUGCGCUUCGGGAUGAAGAGAAAUACCUGUAUCGGUACCCUGGAGGGGAGUCCUACCAGGACCUGGUGCAGCGGCUGGAGCCUGUCAUCAUGGAGCUGGAGCGCCAGGGCAAUGUCCUCGUCAUCUCCCACCAGGCUGUCAUGCGCUGCCUCCUGGCCUACUUCUUGGAUAAGGGUGCAGAUGAGCUGCCAUACCUGAGGUGUCCUCUCCACACCAUCUUCAAACUCACUCCUGUGGCCUACGGGUGCAAAGUAGAAACAAUUAAACUCAAUGUGGAGGCUGUGAACACUCACCGGGACAAACCAACUAACAACCUCCCCAAGAACCAAACCCCUGUAAGGAUGAGAAGGAACAGCUUUACGCCUCUGUCCAGUUCGAAUACAAUAAGGCGUCCAAGAAAUUACAGUGUUGGGAGCCGGCCCCUCAAGCCCCUCAGCCCUCUUCGUGCCCUGGACAUGCAAGAAGGGGCCGACCAGCCGAAGACCCAAGUCAGCAUUCCGGUGGUGUAACCGUGUGUUUCCCUCCAGCCCUGGCCUCCUGCCCUUGUCACUAAUCACCAAGGAGUCAUUUAACUUCCAACCCCCACUCCCACCCCACCCCCCGGCCUCCCACCAUGAAUCUUAACAGAGAACUUGAAGUCAUGUGUUUUUUCAGACCAACCUAGCUAGUCUAUAGUGUGAAAUGUCUAUACCCCCCCCACCUCCAGGGGCCAGCUUGGUGAGUUGGGUAUUUUUUAGGGCAGGUCCUCAGUUGGGGUGGUCUGGAGGAGGAGGAAAAGAGAUCCACUCUCCUGGGGUGAUUGGCAGAGCUGGGGCUGAGGCUCAGCAUGCUGUGGUUCUCACAAUAUCUAAACUCACUAAUGUUCUUGUGGGGGCAGGGUGGAGGGGCACAGAAGCCCAUUUUCCCUAUACCUUUGCCUCUUCAAGGUGUGCUUUACUCACAGUCCUUACCUGCCUGCUGUCUUCCCCCUCUCUCAUGUCCCUGUCGGGUUGCCUCGUGUGAUGCAUGGCGUUGUCACUGUGUGUCUGUCUAGGAGGGAGGGGGCGGUGGGUGGGAGGGAAGGCUGGCUCAGUGGAUGCUCUCUGCAGUGGGCAAAUGGAUCUGGAUGGGGGAAGCCUUGCUUUUCCCCUCCCUAGGGUGAGAGUUCUUGCCUCUUUUCAUGAGAAAUGAUCCUAAGUCUUUGAUGCCCCAGGGGAAGCUGGCUCUCCGUCUGUGGGAAGUAUCUUCGCUUUUAUUUUUCAGACAUAGGUCUUUGGAGGAGGGGUGAGGCUGAGGAGCGUAGGGUGGUCUCUAGGUCCUGCUGGGCUCCUGGAGGGCAGUCCUACCUCUUCUCCAGUGGCUCCCAGCUUCUUUGCCAUCCCUGGGAACUUUCCUGUCAAAGCCAGUGACCUCUGGCUAAGUCCACUUCAGACUUAAUUCUGACUCAAUCUCAGGGGUUGGGGUCCAGAUGUGUGUGUGUUUAAAAAGCUUCUCUGAUAAUUCCGAAACAUAACUCCAGGUAAGAGCCCCAUUUUAUGAAGUUGGAUGGAGAAACACAGGGGCAGUAUUUCCUUAGACAAAGCCUUGACCUAGGGAUUCUGAAUUCCUUACGGUUCUGAAAGGGACAAUUCUCUGGAGUUAGGCAUGUGAACAGAUCACAGCAUCGAGUGAAGUAACCCCCUCCUAGUUACUUCAGGCAACACCCUGCCUCAGAGGCAGCCUGCUGUGUUUUAGAGGGUUCUAUUCAAGGUUCCAGGUCCUGCUUUAACCCUUUACAUUGCAGGGUGAUGGGGAACAAAUCACUACGUGAAACAAAUGUCCCAGGGUAACAGCUGAGAAUUUUAAGCACCCUGGAGAGGGCUACAGAGAUAAAACUGAUAGGAUGACAAAGGUUAUCUUCACAGGGUGCUGGCUUGUGACCCUGAAUCCUUUAUUCCUACAUCCUGAGUAGGUCAUCACAGCCAGUUUUCAAAGGCCACUUACCUAGAUUCUCCUUCAGAUUACUUCCAGACAUAAAGUAACCUCUGAUUCCUGCUUAGCCAUCACACAGUGUGUAUUCAGGGCCCUUGUUUGUGGGGCUUUAGCCUGGGUGAGGUGGUGGGGAAAGGUAGAUAGAGUUUCAGGAGAAAAGGUCCUUGCCAUGAAGAAGAUUAUUUCAGAGAAAGGGCAUCUAAUGUCUAAUAAGUGAACAUUUUUGAAAAAGCAACACACUAAAUCUGUAAAUGCGGGUGUUGGAGUACAGAUUCCUUCUGACUUUUCUCUUGUCCUGUGAAUAUGAGACUAAAAGAUUUGGGAGGCAGGACUGCCCCCCAGAGUGAUGUGGUCUAGAAGGUGUGUGUGUGGCCCUUUAACAAGAUUGCUUUGUCUAGCUUUGCUUGGCUUGGUGGCAUCUUAAGCCCACAUGGGCUCUUCUCUUGCUGUGAGGUGAGAGCUACUCAGAGCUAAUGCAUGAGAAGGAGCAUUUUGAUCCAAGACUUUGGCUUUGGGCUGUACAUACUCUUAGGAAGAGGACAAUUCUCUAACAAACUAGCAUUGUGUUACCCUGUUAAAACCUCCAGCUCUAGACACAGGGCACUGGGAUGGUCAUUUGGGCUCUUAGCCUCCUGGUAGUUUUCCACUGUCCUCAUGUGCUAGUUUGCUUCCUCCAGAAGAGGAGCCUGAGGUGGUCUUACUGUUCUCAGAUAGGACAUGAGAAAUUAGAACAUGACAACAGCCAGGCAUUUGAGCAUCCUUUGGUUUUUAGAGGAGGAUCCCUCCAGAGAAGUUUCAGCAGGGAGAAGCCAGGAGAACAUAGAAUGGAAUAGAGCCCUUACUGUACAUGGAGAAGUCCUGUUCCCUGUCUUUUCUUUCCUGUCCUCUUUCCCCUUCUUCUAAUGUGAAUGAUUAUUGGUAAUAUAUACAUGUUACCGUGAUUAUGUUUCUCUCACACAUCCUGCCAAGAAAGGCUAAACUCCAGAAUACCUUUUGCUGAGGCUUUCAAUUGUGUUAUGGGAGAAAUAGGUAAAGGCUUUAGCAUUUGAUCUUUUGAUAGAACAUGGGGAAAGAAAAAAAAUCACCCUAUAUUCGAUUCUCUUUCUGGUUUUAAAACUGAAUGAGGGAGUUCCCGUGUGGCUCAGCGGGUUAAGGACCCAACAUUGUCUCUCUGAGGAUGCAAGUUCGAUCCCUGGCCUCACUCAGUGGAUUAAGGAUAUAGUACUGCAGCAAGCUGGGGCGUAAGUCACAGAUGCAGCUCAGAUCCAGUGUUGCCAUGGUUGUGGUGUGGGCCUCAGAUUCGACCCCUAGCCUGGGAACUUCAGUAUGCUGCAGGUACUGCUGUUAAAAAAAAAAAAGUUCUUGUCGUGAUUCAGCAGAAAUGAAUCUGACUAGUAGUAUCCAUGAGGAUGCAGGUUCGAUCCCUGGCCUCAUUCCAUAGUUUAAGGAUCCAGCAUUGCUGUGAGCUGUGGUGCAGCUCACAGACGCGGCUUGGGUCUGGCGUUGCUGUGGCUGUGGUGUAGGCCUGUGGCUACAGCUCAGAUUUGGCCCCUAGCCUGGGAACCUCCAUAUGCCUCAGGUGUGGCCCUAAAAAGACAAAAAAACCCAAAAGAAGUAAAACUGAAUGAGGAAUUCCAUGGCAGACUACAAAGAGGGAUCUAAAUCAGAUUUAAAGAACUAGCUUUUCUUCCUAUCUCUUAAUCCUUAAAUUGGAAUUUAGCUCUUAUGAUCUGUACGUCUUUGCUUUUGUUUUGGUAAGGAGAUUGUUUUGCAUUCAUUUGGAAAGUAGAAUAAGAAAAUCUUUUGGAAACAUACUUAUGCUAGGGGUCUGCCCUAUAUCCUUAUCUCUGGUUUUUGUCUUUUUAUUGUGGUUUUUUGGUCAUUCCACCCAGCGCCCCCACUCUGCCCUGAGAAGUUAGGGUUAGGAAUAUAAGAUAUUUAUAUUCCUAGACUGAAUGGUUAAGUAUUUACUAUGAGGUUCUGGGUGUUCUUCUUUGCAACCCACAUUUGAUCUUCAGAGGCCCUGGCAUUUUGAAGAAACAUGAUAUAGCUCUUUGGAAUUAAAUCCAUCUUAUGGUGUCUCUGUGAUUAGGAGGUCUGAGUUCCGGAGACAUUCACUGCUGCUCGGGGUUGCCAGAGGACGGGGGAAGCAACGUCUACCAACUGAGAGAAUUCUAUCUGGGUUACAUUGUCUUAGGCACAUUCCAUUGUCUUUGUUAAGCCCAGAAGCCACAUUCUGUUUGUUUUCCAGAAACUUGAUAACUUCACGCGGGUUUUUCCAGUGUACAUUUUGACUUGUCUUUUAACAUGUUUUAAUUUAAAUUAAAUAUUUUAUUUUAUUAUUUUUUUUUGUUUUUGUGGCAUAUGGAGGUUCCCAGGUUUGGGGUCGAAUCGGAGCUGUAGCCGCUGGCCUACACCACAGACACAGCAGUGCAGGAUCUGAGCCGCGUCUGAGAACUACACCACAGCUCACUGCAACACUGGAUCCUUAACCCACUGAGUGAGGCCAGGAUCAAACCCGCCACCUCAUGGUUACUAGUUGGAUUCAUUUCCACUGCACCACAGCGGAACUCCUAAAUAUUUUAAUUUUAAUUGGAUUCACAAUCUCAUCCGGUUACAUUGAGAGGCUUGAUUUCUGACCUCCCAUCGAGGUGACACAGGCCUCAGAAGUAGGUCUAGGAAUUUAAUUUAGACUCACUGUGUCCAGAACACUGUCUAGAAGCACGUGUAUGCUGAUGGCCUGAGAGACUGUAGAAGGGUCCCCACACUACCUCACAGGUUCAGGUAGGGUUCCUUUGCUGACUACUGACAGAGUCUAAGCUGACAGUCUAACUGUUUUCUGAUGGUGCCAGUUGAUACUGUAUGCAUGUUACUGUAAUUCUCCAUCUAUGGCAUGUGUCCUCCAAGGAAGGGAAAUAACCACUCCACAUAUUUUCUUUAGAGGAAAGUCCUGGACACUCUGAGUUUUUAAUAGACAUUUGUUUUAGUGUAGCAGCCAGAUUCUAAUCACUUUGUAGAACAUGAAAGUUGCACAUCCCUGGUAAGGUAUUUAGUAAACUCAGCUAAGGAAGUGCCUGCCCAGAGCCAGACAUUGUUAGCACUACUUGAAGUCCCCUCCCUCCAUCCAUUCCCCUACGUCUGGGCAGGACUUCACUUUCGGAGCCUUCGGUGUCGCCAUCUUUCCUGCUAUAGACUGUAGCAUUCCCUUGGACAAUGCUGCUGUUUUUCAUCUGCCAUCCAUUGGGUUCUUAGUCAUAAUCUAAUAAAUAAAAAUGAAAAGGGAGUUGCAUUAAAAAAUGGAUUCUGUUGGCAAAAGUAUUCUUUUCAGUAAACUUUUCAUUGGGGACCUGUCACCAAUAUUUACCUACUCCACGUGUUUUGUAUCUGAAUUGCUUGUAUCCUUUUUUUUUUCCUUAUGUUGAAGUAACAAGAUCAACUCAUUCUGGUACGGUGAUAGUUUUGCUGUGGCAAAAGCAUAGGAGUGGUCGUCACCUGUGUCCUUUAGAAGGGUUGGGAGUGGGCCCAGCACCCCUGGGUUAAAUGGAAUGGACUGAACUGGGAACUCAAGCAGUAGGGCUGUACUGCUGGUUUCCUAGGCACAGCUCUGUUGAAAGAAGGAAUGUAAGUCCUUAGCAGCAUUCUAAUUUAAACUGGUGACACUGAUGUCAAAAUUUGCCACUCGGAUCCAUAUAAGGUAUAUAACUGUAUUUGAAAUGUGUUUUUGCGUGUGUGUGUGUAGAAUGGGUAAAUAAAAUUGUUGAGUAACUUGAAUCUUUCAGAAGGCUUCUGGGUUUUUUAUUUUUUAUUUUGGGCUGUGUUCUCCACCCAUUCCAUCACCCUCCAAAACUUUGCCUCAGGCUGCUCAGUGAUUGAGCCUCCAGGGAGCAAAACCCUGUCUACACAGUGACUGGGGUCCUUGGUGGCAGCAUAGCUCUCUUCCACCACCUGCUGGGGAAGAUGGGAAGGACAUAAUGGAAGGCGCCUGAACUUAGUUGUAUGUACUUUUUGGAGCCUCUGCAAGAAUUAAAAUUACCUUUGAUCACAUUGUGCUAUGACUCCCACUUGCAACAUGGAAUUCAUUAUUUGUUGUAAAGAAAAACUUUGGUGAUGGCUUAGAAUUUAGGGGGCACUUCCUUCUAAGAUAUAACCUGCCUGUUUCUAAAGAGAUUAUAGCCAGUGGGAUAAAAUGACAUUUAACUACUUGUGGGAUAGGACAUACAAGUGGAAUUGUGUCACUCUUCUCAUGCCGCAUUCCUUGUUACCUUAACAAGGACCAGGAGCUCAUUAGACAUGCAGAUUCUUGGGCCCCCUCCCAGGCCUGCUGAAUCAGAACCUUCAUUUUCACUGGAUGCCCAGGUGGUUCCGAUGCCCAUUGAACAUGGGAGAUACACUGUUCUCGGGGGAAGCAUUUCUCCCAAGGUCAAAUGUUGGAUCCCAGUGUCUGGGGAGGAGUUGAUUUCUGCUCUGAUGAUUUCUGCAGGAUGGACUGGGAUAACUACAGUGAUGGAGACCCUGCCCACAGUGUCACUUAUCUGGCCUGGUCUUGUAGCUGGCGCAGCCUAUUUACUCUCCUUCGCCACAGAGCUCCCUACUGCUUCUGCCUCCUAUCUUAUAUAGCUUAUCAUCCAUAAAAGGAGUGCCUGGUCCCUGGUCCCGCUUUGUCCCAAGGCAGUGACCUCGCUGGCUGUGCAUAGGCUCUCCUCUCCGGCAUCCCACACAUUGCUCUCCUGAUGAUGUGGAGGCUGAGGCCAGACCUCUCCGGGGGACUGGGGGCUACCGAAAAGCUUGGCAUGUCAGCUCUGCAGGGGCUUGAACAGGAAGCUAAGUGGGGAUUGGACAUUCGGGGCCACCCAAAUGAGGCCUGGAGAAGCUUCACUACCCUUCUCCCCGACAUGCCUAAUGGGAAUAUCGGUGACGCUGGCAAACUUAACUUCCCUGUGCCUCAAAACUUUUCACAGCCUGAACCGAUUCAUUUUGAUAAUCUCUUUGCUGAGUUUGGCCCAAGUGGGCCAAUCCUGUUCUGUUUCGGCAUUUAACAUCUGACCUGUGACUGUAUCCCUAGCUGGCCCUGCUUUGCCUUCUGUGCAAACGCACCUCUUCAGAGUUCAUUGCUUCCAAGUGAGAGGGCUGAAUGCCAGCCAGCCUUUUCUGGGCUGUCAGAGCUGGUCUCUGCAGCCACUCCAAGUGUGCAGGCUAGGGUACAACAGACUUGUUAGCAGUCACUCUGUUUGGUCACAUGGGAAACAAGAGAUGCAUUCACCAGGUGAAUGGAGGGUAUCUGAGAAAUUCAGUCCCAGAAAAUGUCUCUUCUGCAGUGAUGGAAGAGCAACAUCAGUAGCAACCUUUUCGUUGAGAGACGUUUUCCUCGUUCCAGGCCCCUCGAGGGCAGGAUCUGAUGGCAAGACUCCCCAAAAUGGGUCCUGAUCUUCUGAGUUCUCUUUUGCAGCUACUGUUAAUUUUUUAAUUGCCAGUUUUUUUUUUUUUUUUUUUAAAACUAGUUCCUGUGUGCCUCUCAUAGCUCAAGAGGGCUAAUGUCAUCCUCUCUGGUGGUUGGGAAUGCAGGCUGGAGAGAAAAGGGUGCCGUUAGGAUCAUGUGAAGAAGUAAGGGAGGUUCCUUGGGAAUCAGCUCUACCAUGGCAUUCUCUCGGCUUCAGAACAGGUUCAGGGAGACUUGCCCAUCUGUGGGGUCUGCUACUAUGAUGUGGUCUCUAAGAAAGCUGUGGCUGGGGCUGCAAGAACAGUUGGUCUUCUGAUGCCUGCUCUUAGCUGGUGGUCGCUGUGGUGGUUUGCUGGUGUCUCAGGCAGAUCUUGGGGGGAAUGGGGAGGUGGGGGAGCCAGGCCCUCAGUGCAUUCAUACUGUGGUUUCCCUUAAAGAUAAACCAGAUAAUUAUUUAUUCCCUAGAUCAGUAAUUGUCAAACAUACAGAUCCAUCCCUGAGAUGUGAUUUGAAUAUGUCACCACUCCUGAAAGAGGGCAUGGAAGCUCCAGAGAAUACAAUAUCUUAUAAGCAAAAUUCGCCCCCCCCCACCUCCCUUAGCUUAAAUUUUUUUCCGCUUUUCAUUCAGAUGCUCACUUGCUGGGCAAGAGGGUGAGUGGCAUGAAAAAAUGAAAUGCAGCUUUUCCCAAAUGGUUUUUAUUAAAUACUGUGGAUGAUAGAGGGAUCUGUUACCUAAGAUGUGAUGUGCUGGGCUGCAGGCAGUUCAGCAUCCAGCAACCAGGAGCCUGUUUUACAUGCACAAAGCUGCCUUCAGAAAGGCUCUUGUCUCUGCUCUGUAGCAAGUCAUUUUCAUCUGGCUGCUCCUAGCAUGUUGUACUGUAAUGAUAUUGUUUCUUGUGAUGCAGGUUUCUUUCUGCAUCUAAAUACACUGUCUUUUGAUGAUCCUAUAAUGUUUUUAUUUAGUUAUUUAUUCAUCCAUGUAAGGUAUUUUUAAGUCCCCAUAUUAGUGUCUGCAUGUAUUUAAUCAGAAUGUAAGGUUAUUUGUGUGGUCAGUUUUUUUUUUUUUUUUUUUUUGAUAGAAAUUUAGGUAGUUUGAGUAUUUAAGUUGAAUGUCCAUAGUAUUACCUUAAAUUAAAAUUUCAGUAUGUAGGUGUCUGUCUUAUAUAAAAGAAUAAUAAUUAUGUUAAGGCAUAGUAGACUUCUUUUGAACACUUUUUUUUUUUCGUUGAUUUUUAUUAUAAGUAUAAACCAAGAGAUGCAUUUCUCUGGAGAAGAGUUUAUCUCCUGGAUAAAUAAAAUCAUGCUAAAAUUUGUGAGUAAUAUGUAUUGCUUUUGUAAUGAGAACUACAAUAAAAAUUAUUUUUAAUUUAAAAA